rnacentral:lncRNA from 1 species
CUGCCGUGCCCGCUCUCUCGCACCAACUCCUCGUCCCUCGCUGCUGGUGGCGUCCUCGGGGGCGCGCGGCCUCCCCCCACCCCGCCGGCCCGCGCUCUGGCCGCCCCACCCCGCCCCCGGGCUGUGUUUGUAAACAGGGGUCAGUGGCCGGGGGCUGCCGGCGCGGGCUUUGGCCUAGCGGCCUGGGCUGGAAGGCCCGGAAGAGCAGGCCGGCCCAGGGCUGCGGGCGAAGGGCAGGCUGCAUGGCCGCGCGAGUCUCGGGAUCUCGCUGCCCUCCGCACGUGUGACGAUUGAGCUGCCACGGGGCGGAAGAGCCUGCGCCCCAGCUCGCCGGGCCUGCAGUCCGAGCCGAGGGCGCAGAGGGCGGCGGGCGCGCGGCCAGCCUGGCCCCCUUCCCGGGGCCGGCCCUGGGGGCCCGCAGCGCCCACCCUGGCCUGGCACUCCUUUCGUGUGUCCCGAAGUCGUCGCCCGUCCCGCGCACGCCGCCUGGCUUUCUCACCUUCUCGCCCAGGCCUCACGUCUCCCCGGGGCAAAUGGGGCCCAGCUCCCUGCAUGGGGCAGGGAGGCCGGGCCCAGGCGUCCAGAGCGCUCGUGGGGGGCGCGAGUGGUCGAGGGACCGGGCCCCCCCACUGGGCCCAGGACCAGGGCCCGAGCGUGGGGAGGGCGCGACUCCUAGGGUAGGCGGGCGUGGUGGGGCACGGCUGGCUGCUGGCCGGCCGGCGCCGUGGUUCCCGUCCCGUGGAACUUCUCGGUGCGUCUGCGAGUGGAAUGGUGACCUGGACACGGGAAGCGUGAGACAGUGACCUGGAAGGCCACCCUGGGUGGAGGAGGCUGGAGCGCAGCCACCCAGGCAAAGCUGCUUCUGGGGACGAGGGGACCCAGAGGUGCACCACAGACAGGUCGCAGGGAAGUGCAACAAGCUUGUUUUCCAGGGUGUUUAAAAUGCAGCCCCAGUUGUAAAGUGUGUGAAAUUACGCACUGGUCUCUUAAAGAGUGCCUAAUUUAUAGUAAAUAGCGAGGUCUUUGUAAAUGGCUUUAUUAUGUUGUUUCUUGUUAAUUGUUGAGAAAAUCCCCAUUGUUGAGUGUGAAAGGCUUUAUGAGCUAACCUGGUCCUGGCGCAAUCAGAGGGCCAGUAAAGGGCUGCUCGGCCUCGCGCGGUAGCGGGCGCCGGCCGAGGGCGCCGCAGGGACCUCGGGAGAGGCCGCCCCGGCCCGGGGACAGAGAGGCACGGCUCUCUCCUGGAUUUGCUGAACCGUCAAGCGUGUUCUGAACUCGCGGGCCUCCUGGAGCAGCUCCCUGCAAAGGGGACCCGGGCUGGCCACGGCGACCCGUCCUGGCGGGGAGGCGGAGCAGGCCGGUCCCGCUCCGGUCACAACCCGCGGCGGCGGGGGGGGGGGGGGCGCUCCCCGGGCCGCGCUGCGCUGGGGUCGGAUCUUGGG